AUCGGCUGACGAGUCCCAAAUAGGACGAAACGUGCGUCCUGGAU
rfam:Schistosoma mattheei strain Denwood, Zambia genome assembly, scaffold: SMTD_scaffold0001852